GACGAACGCUGGCGGCGUGCUUAACACAUGCAAGUCGAACGGUGAAAGCGGAGCUUGCUCCGCUGGAUCAGUGGCGAACGGGUGAGUAACACGUGGGCAACCUGCCCCUCACUUCGGGAUAACUCCGGGAAACCGGGGCUAAUACCGGAUAUGACCUCCUUGGGCAUCCUUGGAGGUGGAAAGUUUUUCGGUGAGGGAUGGGCCCGCGGCCUAUCAGCUUGUUGGUGAGGUAGUGGCUCACCAAGGCGACGACGGGUAGCCGGCCUGAGAGGGCGACCGGCAAGACUGGGACGAAGACACGGCCGAGACUCCUACGGGAGGCAGCAGUGGGGAAUAUUGCGCAAUGGGCGAAAGCCUGACGCAGCAACGCCGCGUGCGGGAUGACGGCCUUCGGGUUGUAAACCGCUUUCAGCAGGGAAGAAGCCGCAAGGUGACGGUACCUGCAGAAGAAGCACCGGCUAACUACGUGCCAGCCGCCGCAGUAA
rnacentral:rRNA from 1 species